rnacentral:rRNA from 1 species
UUAGAAGCAGUCAUCCUUUAAAGAAAGCGUAAUAGCUCACUGAUCGAGUCGUUCUGCGCGGAAGAUGUAAUGGGGCUAAGCCAUAUACCGAAGCUGCGGAUGCAUAUUUUUAUAUGCAUGGUAGGAGAGCGUUCCGUAAGCCAGCGAAGGUGCACUGGAAAGUGUGCUGGAGGUAUCGGAAGUGCGAAUGCUGACAUGAGUAGCGAUAAAGGGGGUGAAAGGCCCCCUCGCCGUAAGCCCAAGGUUUCCUACGCAACGUUCAUCGGCGUAGGGUGAGUCGGCCCCUAAGGCGAGGCAGAAAUGCGUAGCUGAUGGGAAGCAGGUUAAUAUUCCUGCACCAUUGUUAAAUGCGAUGGGGGGACGGGUCGCGGAAGGUUGUCCGGGUGUUGGAAGUCCCGGUCCUUGCAUUGGAGAAGGCGCUUUGGCAAAUCCGGGCGCGGAAUUCAAGGGUGUGAGACCAGUCACUCAGGUGACGAAGCAACUGGAAGUGGUUCCAAGAAAAGCCUCUAAGCUUCAGUUUAACAAGACCGUACCGCAAACCGACACAGGUGGGCGAGAUGAGUAUUCUAAGGCGCUUGAGAGAACUCGGGAGAAGGAACUUGGCAAAUUGGUACCGUAACUUCGGGAUAAGGUACGCCCCUGUAGCUUGACUGGCCUGCGCCAGAAGGGUGAAGGGGUUGCAAUAAACUGGUGGCUGCGACUGUUUAAUAAAAACACAGCACUCUGCAAACACGAAAGUGGACGUAUAGGGUGUGACGCCUGCCCGGUGCCGGAAGAUUAAAUGAUGGGGUGCAAGCUCUUGAUUGAAGUCCCGGUAAACGGCGGCCGUAACUAUAACGGUCCUAAGGUAGCGAAAUUCCUUGUCGGGUAAGUUCCGACCUGCACGAAUGGCGUAACGAUGGCCACACUGUCUCCUCCCGAGACUCAGCGAAGUUGAAGUGUUUGUGAUGAUGCAAUCUCCCCGCGGCUAGACGGAAAGACCCCAUGAACCUUUACUGUAGCUUUGCAUUGGACUUUGAACCGGUCUGUGUAGGAUAGGUGGGAGGCUUUGAAGCGUGGACGCCAGUCUGCGUGGAGCCAUCCUUGAAAUACCACCCUGGUUUGUUUGAGGUUCUAACCUUGGUCCGUAAUCCGGAUCGGGGACAGUGCAUGGUAGGCAGUUUGACUGGGGCGGUCUCCUCCCAAAAUGUAACGGAGGAGUACGAAGGUACGCUAGGUACGGUCGGAAAUCGUGCUGAUAGUGCAAUGGCAUAAGCGUGCUUAACUGCGAGACCGACAAGUCGAGCAGGUGCGAAAGCAGGUCAUAGUGAUCCGGUGGUUCUGUAUGGAAGGGCCAUCGCUCAACGGAUAAAAGGUACUCUGGGGAUAACAGGCUGAUACCGCCCAAGAGUUCAUAUCGACGGCGGUGUUUGGCACCUCGAUGUCGGCUCAUCUCAUCCUGGGGCUGUAGCCGGUCCCAAGGGUAUGGCUGUUCGCCAUUUAAAGAGGUACGUGAGCUGGGUUUAAAACGUCGUGAGACAGUUUGGUCCCUAUCUGCCGUGGGCGCUGGAUAUUUGAAGGGGGCUGCUCCUAGUACGAGAGGACCGGAGUGGACGAACCUCUGGUGUACCGGUUGUCACGCCAGUGGCAUCGCCGGGUAGCUAUGUUCGGAAGAGAUAACCGCUGAAAGCAUCUAAGCGGGAAACUCGCCUUAAGAUGAGAUAUCCCCGGGCUUCGAGCCCCUUGAAGGGUCGUUCAAGACCAGGACGUUGAUAGGUCAGGUGUGGAAGCGCAGUAAUGCGUUAAGCUAACUGAUACUAAUUGCCCGUAAGGCUUGAUCCUAU